rnacentral:rRNA from 1 species
CACGUAGUUAGCCGGAGCUUAUUCUACAGGUACUGUCUUUUUCUUCCCUGUCUAAAGCAGUUUACAAUCCUAAAACCUUCUUCCUGCACGCGGCGUCACUGCAUCAGAGUUUCCUCCAUUGUGCAAUAUUCCCGACUGCUGCCUCCCGUAGGAGUCUGGGCCGUAUCUCAGUCCCAAUGUGGCCGUUCAACCUCUCAGUUCGGCUACUGAUCGUCGCCUUGGUAGGCCUUUACCCCACCAACUAGCUAAUCAGACGCAAGCCCAUCUAUUAGCGGAUUUCUCCUUUCCCACUAAGACCAUGUGGUCUUUAUGGCAUAUGCGGUAUUAGCAAUGAUUUCUCACUGUUAUUCCCCUCUUAAUAGGCAGGUUGCUUACGUGUUACUCACCAGUCCGCCACUAACCUUCCACCUAAUGUAAACAUUUGGCUUUCUGUCCGUUGACUUGCAUGUCUUAUGUGCGCCGCCAGCGUUUUAUCCUGAGCCGAGGAUACAAACGUCU